rnacentral:ncRNA from 1 species
UUAAGGUGAAUCGCAUAAAUUUGGUUUGUUAUUCUUUGGGCAUCAUGAGUGCUCUAUUUGAUUAGCGAUUAAUAUUUUAUUUAAGCGUAAGCUUUAUUAAGGGCCUUAAUAUAGAGGGGAUCAGGCACAGUGCCAGCAUCCGCGGUUAUUCUGUUUUCUCUGCUUUUUUGUGGUUUUUUGUUUGGGGGUAGUUAGGAAUAAAUUUAGGUGAAAUUUUUUUGUUUUUGUUACUAUUAUCUCUUGCAGUGGUAAGUAAUUGUGUAGUGAGGGGGAUUAGAGACCCCCGUAACUAAUUAUUUAAUUGAACUUAGUUUUAUAACUAAAAUAGUUUGGCAGUGAGUUAUUCCGGUCAGGGGAAGGUGUGUUUUAAAGGACGAUCCGCCUAUUAAUUUACCCCAACUAUGUUGGUGUAUAUCUGGUUGAAUAUUAUUGCUUAGUUGCUUGAAUUUGUGUAUUAAUAUUUAAGCUAAGUCUAUGUGCUGCAUGUUGGGGUUUUCAUGCGUUACAUUUAUAAACUUUAAUACCUGUAAUGGUUUAUGUUUUAGGACUUGAUAGUAAUACUAAAUGAGUUUGUUGGUGUGAAGGUGGUUUAGCUCAGGUACACACCGCCCGUCACCCUCGAUAUUUUUGAGGUAAGUCGUAACAAGGUAGCCCCAGAUGAAUCUGGGGCUAAUUGCUGUUAU